UGCAGUCGAACGAUGAUGCCCAGCUUGCUGGGCGGAUUAGUGGCGAACGGGUGAGUAACACGUGAGUAACCUGCCCUUGACUUCGGGAUAACUCCGGGAAACCGGGGCUAAUACCGGAUAUGAGCCGCCCUCGCAUGGGGGUGGUUGGAAAGUUUUUCGGUCAGGGAUGGGCUCGCGGCCUAUCAGCUUGUUGGUGGGGUGAUGGCCUACCAAGGCGACGACGGGUAGCCGGCCUGAGAGGGCGACCGGCCACACUGGGACUGAGACACGGCCCAGACUCCUACGGGAGGCAGCAGUGGGGAAUAUUGCACAAUGGGCGAAAGCCUGAUGCAGCGACGCCGCGUGAGGGAUGAAGGCCUUCGGGUUGUAAACCUCUUUCAGCAGGGAAGAAGCGCAAGUGACGGUACCUGCAGAAGAAGCGCCGGCUAACUACGUGCCAGCAGCCGCGGUAAUACGUAGGGCGCAAGCGUUGUCCGGAAUUAUUGGGCGUAAAGAGCUCGUAGGCGGUUUGUCGCGUCUGGUGUGAAAACUCGAGGCUCAACCUCGAGCUUGCAUCGGGUACGGGCAGACUAGAGUGCGGUAGGGGAGACUGGAAUUCCUGGUGUAGCGGUGGAAUGCGCAGAUAUCAGGAGGAACACCGAUGGCGAAGGCAGGUCUCUGGGCCGCAACUGACGCUGAGGAGCGAAAGCAUGGGGAGCGAACAGGAUUAGAUACCCUGGUAGUCCAUGCCGUAAACGUUGGGCACUAGGUGUGGGGCUCAUUCCACGAGUUCCGUGCCGCAGCAAACGCAUUAAGUGCCCCGCCUGGGGAGUACGGCCGCAAGGCUAAAACUCAAAGGAAUUGACGGGGGCCCGCACAAGCGGCGGAGCAUGCGGAUUAAUUCGAUGCAACGCGAAGAACCUUACCAAGGCUUGACAUGCACGAGAAGCCACCAGAGAUGGUGGUCUCUUUGGACACUCGUGCACA
rnacentral:rRNA from 1 species